GGCUGUGGCUCAGUGGAAGAGCAUCUGCUUGAGAGGCAGAAGGUUGCAGGUGGUCCCAUCCCUGCCAUUGCCA